AGGUGAUUGCCAUGGCCUGCCGGGAGAUAGAGAUGGGGAAGAAAAAGUGCGAACGCUACUGGCCGCUGGAGCAAGAACCGCUGCAAAUGGGACCCUUCUCCAUCGUCCAGAUCAAGGAGCAGGAGCUGAACCCCGACGUCCUACUCCGCACACUGAGUGUCACUUUCCAGCAGG